GAUGAAGAACGCAGCGAAAUGCGAUAAGUAAUGUGAAUUGCAGAAUUCAGUGAAUCAUCGAAUCUUUGAACGCACCUUGCGCCCUUUGGCCAUUCCGAAGGGCAUGCCUGUCUGAGUAUCAUGAACACCUCAACUCUUCAUGGUUUUCCAUGAUGAGCUUGGACUUUGGGGAUCUUGCUGGCCUGUGGGUCGGCUCCUCUCAAAUGAAUCAGCUUGCCAGUUUUUGGUGGGCAUCACAGGUGUGAUAACUAUCUACGCUUGUGGUUUUCCACCAGGGUAACCUUCAGCAGUGGAGGUUCACUGGAGCUUACAAAUGUCUCUCCUCUGUGAGGACAGCCCUUUGAAUGUUUGAUCUCAAAUCAGGUAGGACUACCCGCUGAACUUAAGCAUAUCAAUAAGCGGAGGA
rnacentral:misc_RNA from 1 species